rnacentral:rRNA from 1 species
UACAGAGGGGGCAAGCGUUGCUCGGAAUCACUGGGCGUAAAGGGCUCGUAGGCGGCCAACUAAGUCAGACGUGAAAUCCCUCGGCUUAACCGGGGAACUGCGUCUGAUACUGGAUGGCUUGAGUUUGGGAGAGGGAUGCGGAAUUCCAGGUGUAGCGGUGAAAUGCGUAGAUAUCUGGAGGAACACCGGUGGCGAAGGCGGCAUCCUGGACCAACACUGACGCUGAGUGAGCGAAAGCCAGGGGAGCAAACGGG